rnacentral:antisense_RNA from 1 species
GGUCUCGCCAAAAUACUCGCCAGUGCCAAGCAGGGCAAUGCGCAGUUCCUCGCCGUGGAUACCCGUGCUGAUAACCUCAGCCUGACCGCUUGCCACAAUGAAGAAUUUCUGUUUGUCUUUGCCUUGAGUGAUAAGGUUUUUGCCGCGUUUCACCUCAACAGGCACAAAGUUCCGCGCCAAAUCCGAAACAAUCUCCUCGUCGAUGCUGGCGAAAAGCGGAAUCUGACGCAAAUCCUUCGCGGUGAAACUUGCCACGCCGUCGAAAUACUGAAUUGCAAUGCGGUCGGCCUUUUUCAAUUCAACUUUGGUGCGGUUGACGCGGUAGGUGCCACUCUCAACCUGUGUCCACGGCAGCAGUUUCAGAAGAAGCCGCGGUGUGAUUGACCCCAUUUGCGGUGGGGUUUUGGUAGUAUUCGCAAGUUUGCGAGCCGUUGCAGUC